rnacentral:rRNA from 1 species
CCUACGGGUGGCAGCAGUGGGGAAUAUUGGGCAAUGGGCGCAUGCCUGACCCAGCAACGCCGCGUGAAGGAAGAAGGCUUUCGGGUUGUAAACUUCUUUUGUCAGGGACGAAGCAAGUGACGGUACCUGCCGAAUAAGCCACGGCUAACUACGUGCCAGCAGCCGCGGUACUACGUAGGUGGCACGCGUUAUCCGGAUUUAUUGGGUGUAAAGGGCGGGUAGGCGGGAAUGCAAGUCAGAUGUGAAAACUAUGGGCUCAACCCAUAGCCUGCAUUUGAAACUGGAUGUCUUGAGUGCUGGAGAGGAGAUCGGAAUUCCGGGUGUAGCGGUGAAAUGCGUAGAUAUACGGAGGAACACCGGUGGCGAAGGCGGAUUGCUGGACAGUAACUGACGCUGAGGCGCGAAAGCGUGGGGAGCAAACAGGAUUAGAUACCCGUGUAGUC